rnacentral:rRNA from 1 species
GACGAACGCUGGCGGCGUGCUUAACACAUGCAAGUCGAACGGAAAGACCCUGCUUUUGUGGGGUGCUCGAGUGGCGAACGGGUGAGUAACACGUGAGUAACCUGCCCUUGACUUUGGGAUAACUUCAGGAAACUGGGGCUAAUACCGGAUAGGAGCUCCUGCUGCAUGGUGGGGGUUGGAAAGUUUCGGCGGUUGGGGUUGGACUCGCGGCUUAUCAGCUUGUUGGUGGGGUAGUGGCUUACCAAGGCUUUGACGGGUAGCCGGCCUGAGAGGGUGACCGGCCACAUUGGGACUGAGAUACGGCCCAGACUCCUACGGGAGGCAGCAGUGGGGAAUAUUGCACAAUGGGCGGAAGCCUGAUGCAGCAACGCCGCGUGCGGGAUGACGGCCUUCGGGUUGUAAACCGCUUUCGCCUGUGACGAAGCGUGAGUGACGGUAAUGGGUAAAGAAGCACCGGCUAACUACGUG